rnacentral:rRNA from 1 species
ACAUGCAAGUCGAACGGGGUAGCAAUACCCAGUGGCAGACGGGUGAGUAACACGUGGUCAACCUACCUCUGUGUGGGGGAUAACUAGCCGAAAGGUUAGCUAAUACCGCAUACGAUCGCUUUGAGGCAUCUCGAAACGAUGAAAGGAGCAAUCCGCACGGUGAGGGGACUGCGUCCCAUUAGUUAGUUGGUGGGGUAACGGCCUACCAAGACUCCGAUGGGUAGCUGGCUUGAGAGAGCGACCAGCCACACUGGAACUGAGACACGGUCCAGACUCCUACGGGAGGCAGCAGUGAGGAAUUUUCCGCAAUGGGCGAAAGCCUGACGGAGCGACGCCGCGUGUGGGAAGAAGGCCUUCGGGUCGUAAACCACUGUCGAAGGGGACGAUACUGACGGUACCGGAGGAAUAAGCACCGGCUAACUUCGUGCCAGCAGCCGCGGUAAUACGAAGGGUGCAAGCGUUACUCGGAAUUACUGGGCGUAAAGGGUGCGUAGGUGGUUUUUUAAGUCUGCUGUGAAAUCCCCGGGCUCAACCUGGGAAUGGCAGUGGAUACUGGAAAGCUGGAGUGCGGUAGAGGGUAGUGGAAUUCCCGGUGUAGCAGUGAAAUGCGUAGAGAUCGGGAGGAACACCAGUGGCGAAGGCGGCUACCUGGACCAGCACUGACACUGAGGCACGAAAGCGUGGGGAGCAAACAGGAUUAGAUACCCUGGUAGUCCACGCCCUAAACGAUGCGAACUGGAUGUUGGGUGCAACUUGGCACUCAGUAUCGAAGCUAACGCGUUAAGUUCGCCGCCUGGGGAGUACGGUCGCAAGACUGAAACUCAAAGGAAUUGACGGGGGCCCGUACAAGCGGUGGAGUAUGUGGUUUAAUUCGAUGCAACGCGCAGAACCUUACCUGGCCUUGACAUGUCGCGAACCUUGCAGA